CUCUUUCCCUCCAUUCUCCAUUUUAAAUUCAUUCAGGUCCUCUUCUCUCAGGGAGCUCUAAUAAGAAUUCCUUUGGUGUCAUUGUUAUGUUAUAGAUGAGGAAACUGAGGUCAGAGUGGUACAGUGGGUGGUAGAAUCAGGAUUUGAGCCUGGGUCUGACUCAUUUCCCAGGUUUACAUGGGUUUUCCCACCAUGCUUUAGUCCCAACCACACUGCUUAUCAGGCUCACUUGAGGAGGACUACAAAACAAAAUGUAUUUCCAGAUCCUACCUCUGACCAAGUCAACUAAAUUUCUUCAGUGGUGCCCAGAAAAUUCUAUUUUAACCAAUUAUUUGUGCAACUAUUUGAUAACUAUCUCCACUACUAGAUGAAAGCUUCACGAGGGCAAGAGCUAGGUCUUACCCAGCAACAGAGAGAGGCCACCCAAGUGUGAGACUACAUGUGCCAAUUUCCUUUCACUGACCCAAGUAGCAAGAGCUAUUUGUGGAAUUCUCUGGAGCAAAUCUCAAAUUUCUAAGAACAAA
rnacentral:lncRNA from 1 species